UAUUCAGCCUGGGGACUGUAAGAUGGUAAAGCUUUAAUAUUAAAAGGAGCAGAGGAGGAAAAACAAAAGGAAAAAGAAAAGACAAGAAUAAAACCUGAAAGAAGGCAUACAGGAAAAGAGGCUAACUUCUGUUCACUAAUUGGCUGAAGACAAUUUUCGUGUUAUGAGACCUGUGGACAGACUCAGUGACCAAAGAAAUGACAGAGGCAUCUAACCAACAACAAGAACCUGAGACCCUUGGUGACUAGUCCAUUCCCACUUAACUCUCUCUGCCUCAUGGUUGUGUCUCAGGAUGUCAGCUCUCAGCAUCAUGGCUACUGACAUGUCCCCUGCUGUGGUGGUCACAGACUCAUCCUCUGAAACUGUAAGCCCUAAUAAACUCUUUCUUCCAUAA